GCGGAUUCAGUGCCGGGAGGUGAGGUAAUACGGAGGGUGCAAGGGUUUACCGGAGUUAGUGGGGUGAAAGGGUCCGUAGGCGGGGCUGUAAGUCAGGGGUGAAAUCUCACAGCUUAACUGUGAAACUGCCGGUGAUACUGCAGGUCUUGAGUAAAUUUGAAGUGGCUGGAAUAAGUAGUGUAGCGGUGAAAUGCAUAGAUAUUACUUAGAACACCAAUUGCGAAGGCAGGUCACUAAGAUUUAACUGACGCUGAGGGACGAAAGCGUGGGGAGCGAACAGGAUUAGAUACCCUGGUAGUC
rnacentral:rRNA from 1 species